GAUCAUGGCUCAGGAUGAACGCUAGCGGCAGGCUUAACACAUGCAAGUCGGAGGGGCAGCAUAAUGGUAGUAAUACUAUUGAUGGCGACCGGGCGGACGGGUGCGUAACGCGUAUGCAACCUACCCUUUACAGGGGGAUAACACUGAGAAAUCGGUUACUAAUACCCCAUAAUAUUCUGGGAGGCAUCUUUCGGAGUUGAAAGCUUUGGUGGUAAAGGAUGGGCAUGCGUUGUAGUUAGCUAGUUGGUAAGG
rnacentral:rRNA from 1 species